rnacentral:rRNA from 1 species
AUGCAUGUUGUCUGUUAUGCUUGGAGCCUUACCUGGUGCGCGCAUGCAAUUAUCGUACCAAGCAUAAAAAAAAAAGCCUUCUUCUUCUCUCCUUUGUUUGUUUAUUUAUAUAUAAAUAAUCAUCACACCUUGCUUUCCCAUUCAUUAACUACAGUAGCUACCAGCUCCUGCUUUACAAAAAGGGCAUCAGCAUUCAGCAUAGCAUCUGCUUGCUUCCUGGAUGGAUCAUCGCUAAGUACGUACCGCGCGCGCUUUUGUCCUCUAACAAGAACACUUUGUGCUAGUGCAAAUCUAAUCGAGCAAUCAUGCUUAGCAGAAGCAACAGGUGCUGGGAUCAUGGCUGCCUCAGCCUGA